CGUUUUUAUACAAAAACAUCGAUGAUGGCAAUAGCUGUUGUCUUAAAAACAGGUAUGUGGAGCAGACAUUUUGAAAAACACAAACAACAGCAAAAACAUGCAUAAUAAUAUUAACAAAGCAGCGUGCGAGGUGGACAUGCUAGCAUCGGUCGUCGCGUCCACUUGGGCGCCUGUGACGUAUCAUCCCGGCCGCGCUGAUACAAGGAAAAAAUUAAACAUGGCGUAUUUAUUCGAACUUUGAAAAUUAAUUGUGAAGUAACUAUAAAUACUAGAGAACUGAAAUAAAUUGCUAAAUUUAA